UCUGCCCCUUAAGAUGAUGUAGAUGUAGCUACUGUGUCACAUGUGUGUCCAUAGGUAGCAGAGAGGAGAGGGGCAAUGUCUAUACUCAUCAUUCUGCCCUACAUACAUCUGAAUGAUUGCUAGCCUAAUAUU